AUGGCAUCUGGAACUGAUGAGAAAGCCAAGAUGGAGAGUUUGACAUCGCCUGCAGCCUUUGUAGAGGGUGGGGUCCAGGAUGCAUGUGAUGAUGCAUGUAGCAUUUGUCUUGAGGCUUUCUGUGAGAGUGAUCCUUCCACAUUGACAGGUUGCAAACAUGAGUUCCAUCUCCAAUGCAUUCUUGAAUGGUGUCAAAGAAGUUCUCAGUGCCCUAUGUGCUGGCAGCCUGUCAGUAUGAAGGAUCCUACCAGUCAAGAGCUUCUGGAGGCAGUAGAGCGGGAGAGGAAUAUAAGAACCAAUCAAACUCGAAAUACGACUAUAUUUCAUCAUUCUGCUCUUGGUGAUUUCGAAGUGCGGCAUUUACCUGUUGUUGCUAAUGAUGCUGAAAUUGAAGAGCGUAUACUGCAACACCUAGCUGCUGCUGCAGCAAUGGGAAGGUCACACCAACAUGGUAGAAGAGAGGGGCAGAGGAACCGAUCUGGCUCUCAUGGCAGCCCACAGUUCUUGGUUUUCUCUGCACAUCCAAAUACUCCUGCUGGCUCUGUUUCAUCAUCUUCUGCUCAGGGUGAAGGUGCUGACGACUUGAGGAUUCUUGUUCCCAGAGUUGGUGACUUACCACCACAUGCUAAUCCCAUUGAAGAAGCAGGCAACCAAAGUCCGGGGGUCCUUACCUACGAUGCUGAACAAGAUGCUGUUGUUUCAUCUGGAAAUAGUACCCCCGUAUCCAGUCCUAGGUUUUUCAACAGGAGACAUUCCUCUGGACAAUCAACUCCAGUAGGUAAUGACAGGGCUGGGCCAUCAGAUGUUCAGUCUUUCUCAGAUUCUCUAAAGUUGCGCUUAAAUGCUGUCUCCUCGAAGUACAAAGAAUCUAUUACAAAAAGUACUCGAGGGUGGAAGGAGAGGCUUUUUUCACGUAACUCAUCUGUGUCUGAUCUUGGUUCUGAAGUGAGACGCGAAGUUAAUAAUGGAAUUGCAUCUGUAUCGAGGAUGAUGGAGCGUUUGGAAACUAGAGGAAGUGGUAGACCAAGCUAUAGCCCAACAACAUCUACUUCUGAAGUUUGUCUCACUACAGAACCAAGCAAUGAGAGGGUUACCGAAAGUAACUCUAAUACUACUACGAGUACUAGCAACACUUCUACCCCUUGUGUGACCAUGUCUGGUUCAAAUUAG
rnacentral:rRNA from 1 species